GACGAACGCUGGCGGCGUGCCUAAUACAUGCAAGUCGAACGCAUUUUCUUUCACCGUAGCUUGCUACACCGACAGAAAAUGAGUGGCGAACGGGGGAGUAACACGUGGGUAACCUGCCCAUCAGCGGGGGAUAACACUUGGAAACAGAUGCUAAUAGCGCAUAAUUCCAUUUUCUUCAUGGUAAAUGGUUGAAAGGCGCUUUUGCGUCAAUGAUGGAUUGAGCCGGGGUGGGUUAGAUCGUUGGGGGGGUAAAGGCCUAACAAGGCUGGGAGACAUAGCCGGACUGAGGGGGUGGUCAGCCCCAAUGGGAGCGAGACACGGGCCAGUCUGCCUGCGGGAGGAGCCAGAGGGAAACUUUGGCAAGGGGCGGAAAGCUGGCCGCACAACGCCGCGGGAUUGAAGAAGGUUUUCGGGUCGUAAAACUCUGUUGUUAGGGAAGAACAAGGAUUAGAGUGGAAAGUUCAUCCCUUGACGGUAUCUAACCAAAAAGCCACGGCUAACUACGUG
rnacentral:rRNA from 1 species